CACGUAGGAGGCGAACGUUAUCCGGAUUUACUGGGCGUAAAGCGCGUGUAGGCGGUUUGAUAAGUCUGAUGUGAAAGCCCCGGGCUCAACCCGGGAAGUGCAUUGGAAACUGUCAGACUUGAAUACGGGAGAGGGCAGUGGAAUUCCUAGUGUAGGAGUGAAAUCCGUAGAUAUUAGGAGGAACACCGGUGGCGAAGGCGGCUGCCUGGACCGAUAUUGACGCUGAGACGCGAAAGUGUGGGGAGCAAACAGG
rnacentral:rRNA from 1 species